CUGGGAUGGCCACUUGGGGCCAAAGAGGGACCUGAGGCGGCCUCGCAGCUUCUUGUGAUGCCGGGUGAUGCAGUCGGGCUGGGAGCCCCACGCACCUGCCAGGCGGCCACCCCACCUUGGUACCCCUGCAGCCCCUUUCCCAGGGCAGCCUCGAUCCAGCUGUACCUGCGACAUCCUCUCUCUGGCCAGUUCACGCAGCCUGUGUGGCCACCGAAGGGAGAACAAAGCCCCCACGGUGCUCGGGACAGCCCUGGGGCGCCGCCAGUGUGGAGGCCCCUCCCCCACGCGGGGCUCACCCCCUCCCCAUCGCAGUGACCCGGCGAUGUCCUGCACUCAUCUGCUUGUGGCUGCGGGUUGUGCAGUGACGUGGGGGAGCUGCUGCUGAGGCCAGCCCACCCCUCCCCUGCCUCUCCCUCCAUUGGGAAGCCCUCUGCUGCCACCCCAGUCCUCCCCCAGCCCCCUGAGGUGCUGUCCCCGAGGUCCCAGGCCCCCGGGGAGGCGGAUACACAGGGGAGGGUGACCAGUCCUCAAGGGCUGGGCUGAGGGCUGCACACCCUCCGCAGGCCGUGGGUGCCCCCCAGCAUCCCACAGCCAUGUGGGGACCCCCAGUGUUGCUGGGUGGGUAGCAGGGAACACCCACCCCCACACAUGCCUCAGCCAUAGUUUCACGCGGCGGCAGGCCUGGCUGAGUAGGUGACCGCCAGGCCCAGCCAGGGGCCCUCCAGGCGGAGUUGCCCUGUGAGAAACAGCCGUUGUCAGGUGGUGCCCAUAGGUCGGGGCAUCUGUCCUGUGGCCACAAGCCAGGCAGCAGCUCAGAGACGUGGCUGGUGUCCUGGCCUGAAGCAGGCCCCAGUGCUGAGCCCAAGACCCUCAGCCACCGCUCACUGCCUGACGCUGAGCUUCCAGGAGCUGCUGCGGUGCAGGUGGCCCAGGGUCCUGCAAGAGGGACACCGUGAGUAGGCUGGGCAGUGCGCUUGUCCAGAGGCCCAGGGCCACCAGGCUGCAUGACUGAGCCCUGCGGACACUGUUCAGGCUCUGGGCGCCCAGCCCACCCCAGUCAGGGCACCCCCCCCACCGUGAGGCCUCAGUGCCCUGCACUCACAUCACUCACGGAAGCAUCUGGUUCUUACGAGUCUGCCACGAGAGGCUCCUCCGUGCUGGCCGGGUCUGGGCCAGGCCACCAAGAGCCCCAGGCUGCCCCCACUCAUCCCUGAGCCCCUCUGGGAGCCCAGGACCCCUGGGUGCCCUCACCUGAGCCAUGGCCUCUUCCUGCCCAGCUUGACCAAGCCUGCCCUGACCUCCACUGCCCACCUCCUUUCUGGUCAGCGCCCACCGGUCCUGCUCGGCCCACCCUUGGGUCCUAGUCCGGGUGCAUGUGGGGGGACGUUGUGGGCCGGUCACUGCCAGAAACAGGUCGGGAGAUGCCCCCCCUCCCGGGGCGAACAAGCCCAGCAGGGUGCCUGGGCCCGAGGUGGCCACAUCACAAACAGCCCCACGAGUGUCCCCUGCCCUGUCUCUGCUGUAGUGCCAAGGUCCCACAGCACAUCCCUCUGCUGGCCAGUCCCGUCGGGAAGAGUCUUUGGUGGAAGCGAUGCCUGAUCCCGAUGGCCACAGAUGGCACCUGCCUUGGGCUGGUGCCAUGGUGCCUGGGGACAGUAGCUGGGUUGUCUGCCCCGAGUAGCCAGGUUCUGGCAGGAGACCCGCUCCUGCUGACACACCGGAUCUUUUGGGCAACACUGGGAGGGAGGAGACUGUUUUACAGAUGCUGCUUCUUGGUCUGCUGGAGCGCGGCCUCAGGACAGGUGGGCUGUGGCCUUCAGACCUGGGUCUGACGUCUGUGGGGGGAAGCACAGCCUAGUCUGCCCUGACGCAGACCCUCGCUCUCCCCGUUUGCUCUCCCCAGGCCCACUCCUCCCCAUUGGCUGGCCCUCCCUGCGGCCCAGCUCCUGGAGAGCUCUCGGGUUUCUGGGCCUGCCCCGAGGGCUCUGGGAACCCUGCACGUCCUGGGCCCCAGCCAAGCACCUGUGCCUUCCCAGGGCCAGCAGAGCAUCUUAGAGCUGAGCCCGCCUAAUCCCAGCCCAACGUGGUUUAUGGUGCUCGGGUGUCCCUAAUCCCGAAACCCAAGCCCGGGUCCCAGCAGCCAUACCAGCACCGUCCAAGUGGGCAGCAGGAGGACCACCUCCCUCUGCGUGCCUGUUGUUUGGAGCUGAUCCCCACUGGGGACAGGACACCCGCAGGGUGAACACCCAAUCCUGAUGAACGCGGGUGAGCUCAGGAACCACCGAGCCCUCACUGCCUGGCUGGUCCUGCUCCAGCCUAGCCCCAGGGCUGCCCAGCGGCGACAGCAGAAGCAAACAGGAGAGGCAGGCCUGGCUCAAGCCUUGAGACUCUGGCCUCUAGGGUUUCAUGGGACAGUGAUCGAGCCUGCAGUUCCAUGAAAUUAAGUUUGUUGGGUUUUUUUUUUUUCCUAAUAAAUUUGGGAUCUUUAUGGCAUAAAACUGAUGAUCAAGUAACACCAAAAGCUUGGGAAUAAAGUGGAACCAUGAGCAACAGGCACUGUGGCCUUGUUACGUAGCAGCUGGGGGUCAGGAGCCUGCAGGGCCCAGCUCCCUGCCUGGCCGCCAGCCACUGACCCAGCCAGGGCUCCAGGCACUGGGCACGGCCCCCCACGGGCCCCCUUUUCAUAAUUAUGUUAUCGAGGCAUGCAGCCCAUGAUGGCAAGAAUGGCUAACGGCCCCUGAUGGUCUUAGUAUUUUUGAAGAAUUUUCAUACCCAUAAGUUCCCCCAAAGCAGAUGUAAGUGGCUCCUGAGCUACCAGGGUCAAGACAUGGGACAGAACAGGAGGCAAUUGAAGCAACAUCUGGACGUGUCUUCUUUGGGCCCCCACCUGACAAGUGAGAAGACUGAUGCCCAGACCCCCAGGUGCCCCGUGGGGCAUGAAGGUCCGAGGAGCCUGCUUUGCAAGGUCUGAGCUCCACACACCAUGUGUCCGUGGAAAGGGGUGCAGCUCAGAGCCGACCCGACUUCCUGCAGCUUUCCUCCUCCAGCUCUCGUGUGCCAGGGCCACACAGGGGAGCAGGAGGCCAGGUCUGCUCCAAGUGUUCCACUAGGCGCUGUGUGUCUUAACGUACAGGCAGCAUAGCUGGAUUGGUGCUUGUGAGACAGAUGUACAGGGGGCAGAGGGGCUGGUCUGGGUGGUGUCUGAGCAGCUUGUAUAAAGCUAACUUUUCGCAAAUAAAAGUGAUCAACUCCACACAAAAUAGAAAAGAUACUGUCUGAAGGCACUGAAGAUCAACCAAAAGCAAUCAGAAACUAGAGGGAAUCCAGCCACUGGAAAAAGAAACGCACUGAGUGAGAUUCGCGUGUAUAUGCAUUUCCCCUGAGGUCCCUCCCUAGGGCAGGGCACCAGUGACCAGAAUGGGAACAGGAAGCUGUAGUCCUGCUGGCUUGAGGUGCCAGAGAACAGCUGGGGUCAGCCAGAGCAUCUGGAAAUGAGGGAGAAAAUCCUUGAAAACCUGCAUGUAAACUCCCGUCAGAUCCUUAGUUGAUGACUGAACUGCUCGUGUGGGAGCGAGACUCAAGGAGGAGAGAGCAGAGAUUUCAGUGAUCAUCCACUGCAGGGGGACAGAGAGUUUGGAUCUCAAGUCCCACCAAGUCACAGGGGCUGUGCAAACACUGUGGGCCUUCCCCUGAAACCACAGCAAGUCCACACCUUAGGAGAAAAAAUUAGGUUCCAAGACUAACGGGUUUGUGUAGGACUAAAGGCAAAACUGCAACAGAUCCACCCUCACAAAAAUAAAACCAUGCCUCCAAAAGUUCAAAGUGGAAGGCCUGCUGAAACAAAGGCCAACACACUUCAGAAGAUAACAGACUCCAAAGGCUCUACAAAAUGCCAUCAGUGUCCAGAAUGCAACUAAAAAUGACUAGAUGGGUGAGGAACAUGGAAAUGUGAUUCCUAGCCAAGAGGAAAAAGCAGUUCCUAGAAACCAGCCCCAAGAUGAUCCAAA